rnacentral:rRNA from 1 species
UGGGGAAUAUUGCACAAUGGGCGCAAGCCUGAUGCAGCCAUGCCGCGUGUAUGAAGAAGGCCUGGUUGUAAGUACUUUCAGCGGGAGGAAGGCGUUGAGGUUAAUAACCUCAGCGAUUGACGUUACCCGCAGAAGAAGCACCGGCUAACUCCGUGCCAC